rnacentral:rRNA from 1 species
AGAACGAACGUUAGCGGCGCGCCUAACACAUGCAAGUCGAGCGAGAAAGGGAGCAAUCCCCGGUACAGCGGCGCACGGGUGAGUAACACGUAGGUAACCUACCCUCGAAUGGUGGAUAACCUUCCGAAAGGAGGGCUAAUACAGCAUGAGCCCACGGCAUCGAGAGAUGCAGGGGGAAAAGCCGGCCUCUUCAUGAAAGCUGGUGUUCGAGGAUGGGCCUGCGGCCCAUCAGCUAGUUGGUGAGGUAAUGGCUCACCAAGGCUAAGACGGGUAGCUGGUCUGGGAGGAUGGAUCAGCCACACUGGAACUGAGACACGGUCCAGACUCCUACGGGAGCAGCAGUGGGGAAUCUUGCGCAAUGGGCGAAAGCCUGACGCAGCGACGCCGCGUGAGUGGUGAAGGCCUUGGUUGUAAAGCUCUGGUGGAGGGGAAGAAGUAAGGCAGUGGACUAACAUCCAUGUCGAUGACGGUACCCUUAGCUAAGCACCGGCUUAACCG